CGACGAAUCUUCCGCAAUGCGCGAAAGCGUGACGGAGCAAUGCCGCGUGUGGGAUGAAGGCGCUCUGCGUCGUAAACCACUGUCAGGCCCUAGAACCAACGAUCAGGGCCAGAGGAAGGGCCGGCUAAACUCGUGCCAGCAGCCGCGGUAAGACGAGUGGCCCAAGCGUUAAUCGGAAUCACUGGGCUUGAAGCGUGCGCAGGCGGACCUUUAGGCAUCCCGUGAAAUGCCCCGGCUCAACCGGGGAAUGGCGGGGUGAACCAUUGGUCUUGAGGCAGGUAGGGGGGUGCAGAACUGUCGGUGGAGCGGUGAAAUGCGUAGAUAUCGACAGGAAUGCCGAAGGCGAAGGCGGCACCCUGGGCCUGUCCUGACGCUCAUGCACGAAAGCGUGGGGAGCAAACAGGAUUAGAUACCCGUGUAGUCC
rnacentral:rRNA from 1 species